AUGACCUUGACCUUUCACCACUCAAAAUGUGCAGCUCCAUGAGAUGCACAUGAAUUUAUUUUUUUUGACCUUUGACCAUGAAGGAUGACCUUGACCUUUCACCACUAAAAAUGUGCAGCUUCAUAAGAUACACAUGCAUGGCAAAUAUCAAGUUGCUAUCUUCAAUAUUGCAAAAGUUAUGAGCAACGUUAAAGUUUUCGGACGGACACACGGACGGACGGACGGUCAAAAUUUGUGUGCGUAUGGAAAGGCGUUGUCCAUAUACACAUGCAUACCAAAUAUGAAGGUUAUAUCUCAAGGGACAUUUAUGGCCAUUUUUGACCUUUGAACUCAAAGUGUGACCUUGACCUUGGAGAUAUCGACGUAAUUAUUUCGCGCGACACACCGUCCAAUGAUGGUGAACAAAUGUGCCAAAUGAUUUUAAAAUCUGACAAUGAACGACAUAGUUAUGGCUCGGACAAGCUCAUUUAUGGCCAUUUUUGACCUUUGAACUCAAAGUGUGACCUUGACCUUGGAGAUAUUGACGUAAUUAUUUCGUGCGACACACCGUCCCAUGAUGGUGAACAAAUGUGCCAAAUGAUUUUAAAAUCUGACAAUGAACGACAUAGUUAUGGAUCGGACAAGCUCAUUUAUGGCCAUUUUUGACCUUUGAACUCAAAGUGUGACCUUGACCUUGGAGAUAUCGACGUAAUUAUUUCGCGCGACACACCGUCCAAUGAUGGUGAACAAAUGUGCCAAAUGAUUUUAAAAUCUGACAAUGAACGACAUAGUUAUGGCCCGGACAAGCUUGUUCCGCCAGCCCGCCAGCCAGCCAGCCAGCCCGCCAGCCAGCCAGCCAGCCAGCCCGCCCGCAUUCGCCAAUCUAAUAACCAGUUUUUUCCUUCGGAAAAC